GACGAACCGUGCAAACGUUAUUCGGAAUCACUGGGCUUAAAGGGCGCGUAGGCGGGCCGCCAGGUCCGGGGUGAAAGCCUCCAGCUCAACUGGAGAAGUGCCUUGGAUACCGGCGGCCUCGAGGGAGGUAGGGGCGUGCGGAACUUCGGGUGGAGCGGUGAAAUGCGUAGAUAUCCGAAGGAACACCGGUGGCGAAAACGGCGCGCUGGAUCUCUUCUGACGCUGAGGCGCGAAAGCCAGGGGAGCAAACGGG
rnacentral:rRNA from 1 species